UACGUAGGUCGCAAGCGUUGUCCGGAUUUACUGGGCGUAAAGAGCGCGCAGGCGGCUGGUCAAGUCCGAUGUGAAAUCUCCCGGCUCAACUGGGAAACUGCAUCGGAAACUGAUCGGCUUGAAGAUGGGAGAGGGUAGUGGAAUUCCCGGUGUAGUGGUGAAAUGCGUAGAUAUCGGGAGGAACACCAGUGGCGAAGGCGACUACCUGGCCCAUUCUUGACGCUGAGACGCGAAAGCGUGGGGAGCGAACAGG
rnacentral:rRNA from 1 species